ACACAUGCAAGUCGAACGGAAAGGCCCUUCGGGUACUCGAGUGGCGAACGGGUGAGUAACACGUGGGUGAUCUGCCCUGCACUUUGGGAUAAGCCUGGGAAACUGGGUCUAAUACCGGAUAGGACUACGGCCUGCAUGGGUUGUGGUGGAAAGCUUUUGCGGUGUGGGAUGGGCCCGCGGCCUAUCAGCUUGUUGGUGGGGUGAUGGCCUACCAAGGCGACGACGGGUAGCCGGCCUGAGAGGGUGACCGGCCACACUGGGACUGAGAUACGGCCCAGACUCCUACGGGAGGCAGCAGUGGGGAAUAUUGCACAAUGGGCGCAAGCCUGAUGCAGCGACGCCGCGUGGGGGAUGACGGCUUCGGGUUGUAAACCUCUUUCAGUAGGGACGAAG
rnacentral:rRNA from 1 species